UGGGGGAUCGUUCAAUGGUAGGACACAAGUUUUUGGUAUUUGGUAUCGGGGUUCGACUCCCUGUCCCCCAG
rnacentral:tRNA from 1 species